rfam:Thiomonas bhubaneswarensis strain DSM 18181 genome assembly, contig: Ga0061069_103
UCUCCCGCUUCUCCUCCCUGAGCGGGGCCUUGUUUCAAGGCUUGAAUCCCCGGCCAGCACUGCCGGGGAUUUUUUU